UACGUAGUGGGCAAGCGUUGUCCGGAUUUAUUGGGCGUAAAGAGCGUGUAGGCGGCUUGACAGGUCUGCUGUGAAAACUCGAGGCUCAACCUCGAGAUGUCGGCGGAAACCGUCUGGCUAGAGUCCGGAAGAGGAGAGUGGAAUUCCUGGUGUAGCGGUGAAAUGCGCAGAUAUCAGGAAGAACACCUAUGGCGAAGGCAGCUCUCUGGGACGGUACUGACGCUGAGACGCGAAAGCGUGGGGAGCGAACAGG
rnacentral:rRNA from 1 species